rnacentral:rRNA from 1 species
UACGUAGGGGGCAAGCGUUGUCCGGAUUUACUGGGCGUAAAGGGCGCGUAGGCGGCCACCGCAAGUCGACUGUGAAAUCUCCGGGCUUAACUCGGAAAGGUCAGCCGAUACUGCGGGGCUAGAGUGCAGAAGGGGCAACUGGAAUUCUCGGUGUAGCGGUGAAAUGCGUAGAUAUCGAGAGGAACACCUGCGGCGAAGGCGGGUUGCUGGGCUGACACUGACGCUGAUGCGCGAAAGCUAGGGGAGCGAACGGG